rnacentral:rRNA from 1 species
CCUUUGACGUUAGCGGCGGACGGGUGAGUAACACGUGGGUAACCUACCUAUAAGACUGGGAUAACUUCGGGAAACCGGAGCUAAUACCGGAUAAUAUUUCGAACCGCAUGGUUCGAUAGUGAGAGGUGGUUUUGCUAUCACUUAUAGAUGGACCCGCGCCGUAUUAGCUAGUUGGUAAGGUAACGGCUUACCAAGGCGACGAUACGUAGCCGACCUGAGAGGGUGAUCGGCCACACUGGAACUGAGACACGGUCCAGACUCCUACGGGAGGCAGCAGAC